CACCGCCCGUCACACCAUGGGAGUGGAUUGUACCAGAAGCAGGUGGCCUAACCGCAAGGGAGGCGCCUACCACGGUAUGCUCCAUGACUGGGGUG
rnacentral:rRNA from 1 species